GAAGCCGGGGUUGUGCCACGUUUCUACGAGUAUACUCGUAGCUCUCAGCCACAAGCCCACCUGGUUCACUAAUUUUACUUUGAUUUUUCAAACCUGGCGUUGCCUUUUCUCCUCAGUGAUGACUUUGCUCUCCUCACUCGGAUCCGUAGUUAAUCUUGGUGGAGAAGCAUGUUUCAAAACGCUGACGGUGGAUGAUUCUGAGGCUUCAAGCAGAAUGUGCUUCAAAAUACUGCAAGUGAUGGUCUUACCUCCUCAGAAGCAAGCGGAGGCACUGAGCUAUGAGUGGACUGCAUGAAGAGAACUGUCAGAUUUGCCUGAGAUCACAAAAGUGUAAGAACCACAACACUGACAGAAACGAAGCUUCCCAACUCUUGAAUCUAGAGAGAAUGCAAUAAAAUGAAAAUCAGGGCAGUCUACGCUCAUCGGAAUUUUUGUGGGACUUCUGCAAGUGCAGCGUAUGAACCAUUUAGAAGAGGACCACCUUAUGAAUAUGAAUAACCCAGCAUGACCUUAAGGAGGAAAUAUCCAGAAAGUUGUAUUAUCAUUUGGAUCAGAUUAAAAACUUGAGAUUUAUUAAGUCAUCUGCAAAGGCUGAUGGCCAAAAUAACUGGCUAACUGCAGGUAUUGCUUUAGUAUCUUCCUGUACUUCCUAGCUACUGCUUUGAAAAAUGAAACAUUGGGACUGGGAAACUCUGUAUUUGAUGAAAGAAUGGGUAAUGGCAUGAUCAUAGUGAAAAGUCUGGUGGAGGGAUUAAAAGAAGGAAAUAUUCUCAAGAUUUCCAGAAUUUCUGAAUUUCAGAAUUAAAAAACCAAACCAAAGAGGCAGAAUGAAGGAGAAAUUAUUUGCCGCUUUGUGACACCUUUCCUUUCAGCUGUAGCCAUCCCAUCAUUUUUCUUUACCCUUCUCCACCUAUAGAUUCAAUUCAUCUUCAUCCACAAACUAACUCUCUUGACCAAUUUGACUUUGCCAUUCCUGACUUCUCCUUACUUUAGGACUUGCUUAGCUCAUUAUCAUCCCCAGCCAUUUUCCCAGUCUCCAUUCACAUUCCCAGGCACACCUCCAGCUCCACUGCCCAAAACCCUUCAUUUAUUACCAAACCCCCAACACCUCUCAUUUCUGAGUGCUCUCUGCAUGCUCCCAAGCUCCUUGCUGCCUCUCUCCCUUACUCAGAGUUUAGGUCAGAGAAGCAGCUGGUGAAGUGAGAUGUUAUUCCUCCACAAACCCCCUGAUGGAUGCAGAAACACUUGCUCUCCUAUCUCAGACUGCCUGCGCUGUGCAGGAGAUCAGGCAGCGAGAAAACUAUUCCUCGAUAGGGAAAAUGUGUCCUGAGCCUGUGUGGCUGAAGAAAAGUCAGCUCUGCGGAAUAAUUCUGCAUCCUUCACCUGCUGCCUCCUCUGCGUGCUGUGGGACUGGGAGUGCUGGAUGUGAAGCGGAUGCACUGCAGAUUUCAGGGACUAGCAUGGCGUUGCCAUGUGCUUGUGGAUAGGUGGUGUGCUUCACUCUCGGGAUUAUAAUUUCGGUGGUGGAUGUGUGAUUCAAAUGGGUGAAACACAGAAAAUGAGCUAAAGAGGAAGAAGUACAAGCUGCAGGU